AAACCCUUUUUUAAGGGAUAGGGUCGGUUCGGCCGGAUUUUACACAAGUGUUGCAUGGCUGUCGUCAGCUCGUGUCGUGAGAUGUUGGGUUAAGUCCCGCAACGAGCGCAACCCUCAUCCUUAGUUGCUAUCAGGUAAUGCUGAGUACUUUAAGGAAACUGCCAGUGAUAAGCUGGAGGAAGGUGGGGAUGAUGUCAAGUCAUCAUGGCCUUUAUGGAGUGGGCUACACACGUGCUACAAUGGUGUCUACAAUGGGCUGCAAGGUGCGCAAGCCUAAGCUAAUCCCUAAAAGACAUCUCAGUUCGGAUUGUACUCUGCAACUCGAGUACAUGAAGUUGGAAUCGCUAGUAAUCGUGGAUCAGCAUGCCACGGUGAAUACGUUCUCGGGUCUUGUACACACUGCCCGUCACGCCAUGGGAAUUGGUUCCUUCGCAAAACCUA
rnacentral:rRNA from 1 species